UGGAUCCAGACUUUGAUCCUGGCUCAGGAUGAACGCUAGCUACAGGCUUAACACAUGCAAGUCGAGGGGAAACGACAUCGAAAGCUUGCUUUUGAUGGGCGUCGACCGGCGCACGGGUGAGUAACGCGUAUCCAACCUGCCCACCACUUGGGGAUAACCUUGCGAAAGUAAGACUAAUACCCAAUGAUAUCUCUAGAAGACAUCUGAAAGAGAUUAAAGAUUUAUCGGUGAUGGAUGGGGAUGCGUCUGAUUAGCUUGUUGGCGGGGUAACGGCCCACCAAGGCAACGAUCAGUAGGGGUUCUGAGAGGAAGGUCCCCCACAUUGGAACUGAGACACGGUCCAAACUCCUACGGGAGGCAGCAGUGAGGAAUAUUGGUCAAUGGACGAGAGUCUGAACCAGCCAAGUAGCGUGCAGGAAGACGGCCCUAUGGGUUGUAAACUGCUUUUAUAAGGGAAUAAAGUGAGAGUCGUGACCCUUUUUGCAUGUACCUUAUGAAUAAGGACCGGCUAAUUCCGUGCCAGCAGCCGCGGUAAUACGGAAGGUCCGGGCGUUAUCCGGAUUUAUUGGGUUUAAAGGGAGCGUAGGCCGGAGAUUAAGCGUGUUGUGAAAUGUAGACGCUCAACGUCUGCACUGCAGCGCGAACUGGUUUCCUUGAGUACGCACAAAGUGGGCGGAAUUCGUGGUGUAGCGGUGAAAUGCUUAGAUAUCACGAAGAACUCCGAUUGCGAAGGCAGCUCACUGGAGCGCAACUGACGCUGAAGCUCGAAAGUGCGGGUAUCGAACAGGAUUAGAUACCCUGGUAGUCCGCACGGUAAACGAUGGAUGCCCGCUGUUGGUCUGAAUAGGUCAGCGGCCAAGCGAAAGCAUUAAGCAUCCCACCUGGGGAGUACGCCGGCAACGGUGCAACUCAAAGGAAUUGACGGAAUG
rnacentral:rRNA from 1 species